rnacentral:rRNA from 1 species
UCGCGGCCUAUCAGCUUGUUGGUGAGGUAAUGGCUCACCAAGGCGAUGACGGGUAGCCGACCUGAGAGGGUCGUCGGCCGCACUGGGACUGAGACACUGCCCAGACUCCUACGGGAGGCAGCAGAGGAGAAUCAUUCGCAAUGGGCGAAAGCCUGACGGUGCGACGCCGCGUGAGGGAUGAAGGCUCUAGGGUUGUAAACCUCUGUCGGGAGCUAGGAACGGCGAGGAUGCUAAUAUCAUCUUCGAUUGACCAGCUCCGAAGGAAGCUCCGGCUAACUACGUGCCAGCAGCCGCGGUAAUACGUAGGGAGCAAGCGUUACUCGGAAUUACUGGGCAUAAAGGGCGUGUAGGCGGAUACGCAAGUCCGGUGUGAAUGCCCUCGGCUCAACCGGGGAGUGCCAUUGGAAACUGCGUGUCUUGAGUGCGGGAGGGGAGAGUGGAACUCUUGGUGGAGCGGUGAAAUGCGUAGAUAUCAAGAGGAACGCCAGUGGCGAAAGCGACUCUCUGGCCCGUUACUGACGCUGAGGCGCGAAAGCCAGGGGAGCGAACGGGAUUAGAUACCCCGGUAGUCCUGGCCCUAAACGAUGGGCACUAGGUAGUGGCGGUUCUGAUGCCGUCUCUGCCGUAGCUAAUGUGAUAAGUGCCCCGCCUGGGGAGUACGGAA